AACGAACGCUGGCGGCGUGGCUAAGACAUGCAAGUCAAACGGUACCGAUUAUUUAUAAUCGGGAUAGUGGCGAAAGGGUUAGUAAUAGAUAGGUAACGUACCCUGUGCUUCGGAAUAGCGUCAUUCGCCUUCGGGCGAAUUUCCGAAAGGGACGGUAAUACCGAAUAAUAUCAGUUGUCGAUGGGCAACUGAUCAAAGAUUUAUCGGCAUUGGAGCGGCCUAUCUCCUAUCAGCUUGUUGGUGAGGUAACGGCUCACCAAGGCAGCGACGGGUAGCGGGACUGAGAGGUUGGCCCGCAACAUCGGGACUGAGACACUGCCCGGACCUCCACGGAGGGCUGCAGUAACGAAUCUUGCGCAAUGGGCGAAAGCCUGACGCAGCGACGCCGCGUGCGGGAGGAAGUCCCUCGGGAUGUAAACCGCUGUCAGGGGUAAGAAAGUCCGCUUCGGCGGAUUGAUCUAACCCAAAGGAAGUCACGCUAAC
rnacentral:rRNA from 1 species